AGCUUUUAUUGGGUAUCAGCAGUUGUCUUUCAUUAGGAAGAAGAGUGAGGAAGGUACCAAUGGGUGUAGCCAACUUUUAAACUUUAGAAAGUUUUGAGUGCUUGAACUUACUUUUUCAUUUUACUUCAUCCUCCAAGGAGUGCAAUCACUUGGUGUGCCUACUUCACUUCUUUUAAGCGAAAGAAGAGCGAACAGGCAAC
rfam:Ailuropoda melanoleuca scaffold776_150, whole genome shotgun sequence.